rnacentral:lncRNA from 1 species
GUGUCUAAGGGGCAAAGCCAAGAAAAUCAUGGAGGGACAUACACCUUCAGCCAGGCAACAACUGUGCUGCCACUGCCCAACCCAGGAUGCCGGAGGAAUUGAAUCAGACGAUAACUUUUCUGCACUUUUCCUGGUGACUCUUGGAUCAGUGGCUCCUUUGAAAGUAAUUGGGCUUUAAGGCCAUUUCAACCAAGCAGAAUUGUGAAGACAAACAUAAAGAAACAAAGAUGAGAGUCCCACCCACUGAGGAAGAGAAAGAGCUGAAGAACAGGAGCAGAGGGAAAGGACAGAAAGAAACCCACUAAGCCUCCCUCCAGGUGACUGAGAGAUUUUUCGUCUUGGUUCAAGUCCUUUGUAAGGCUUAGCUAUAAUUCCUACCCUUGCAUUCUGCAUAAUUACCCUGUGUAC